GUCCCUGUGGCUCAGUUGGUAGAGCAUGGUGUUUGCAGCGCCAGCAUGGUGUGUGCAACGCCAGGGUUGUGGGUUCGAUUCCCACGGGGGGCC
rnacentral:tRNA from 1 species